rnacentral:rRNA from 1 species
UACGAAGGGGGCGAGCGUUGCUCGGAAUCACUGGGCGUAAAGCGCACGUAGGCGGCUUUCUAAGUCAGGGGUGAAAUCCUGGAGCUCAACUCCAGAACUGCCUUUGAUACUGGAGAGCUUGAGUCCGGGAGAGGUGAGUGGAACUCCGAGUGUAGAGGUGAAAUUCGUAGAUAUUCGGAAGAACACCAGUGGCGAAGGCGGCUCACUGGCCCGGUACUGACGCUGAUGUGCGAAAGCGUGGGGAGCAAACAGG